CUAUAAUGAAUGGUUUAAUUUUGCUUCUUUCCACCCGCCAAUAUCCGGGAGAUCUGCAAACCUCUGCUGAAAGCUUGAUUGAAGAGCAGGCGAGUCUGGAACUCAGAAACAAAGGGGAACCAUGCAAGUGCUGCAACAGAUCACAUUGACAAUGGAAGUAUCCAAAGGCGAGUUCGUCAAAUUGCUGAAAGAAGACACAAUGGAAGUUAAUAGAUCUGAAAUUAAAUAUGGACAGCAAUGACCGUUUAACAAAUCAGACUAUCCUUUUUUUGGAAGGAUAUUUGGAAUUCCAGAAGUACAAUUGGAAUUAUUCAGCUGAGACAUUGGGGGAGGACAUAGGAUUUCAGGAGGGACCAAUGUUCCAUAUCAAAAAAGGAGAUGACUUCACAGUUGAGGUUGUGAGGUCCAAUGGUCACUGUGAAGACUGAAUUUCCAAGUAUUUUGUAAUCAAUUUUGACAUACUAUCUUUAAUACAAAAAAAGGUGCUAGAGGAGACAACUGCAGAGGAGGAUAAUGUGGUUAUUUAGGAAGAAGAAAGUGAGUCAAAGGAGGGCAACCAAGGAAUCACUCUUUGCUGUAUUCCCCUCACCCAUCUUUCAACAUCAAAUGAAGUGGAACAGUUGGAUUAGGUGGGUGCUCCCAUGAACACGUUGGAUAUACCUCAUACCUACUCGCACCUUAUCUACUCUUUCAACGACAACAAAUUCAAUGGGACACUCCAACAAGUGGAGCAUGCACCAGUUCUAUAGCUGGAGCUGCACCAAUUUGGGAAGAUGUUUACCUCUUUAACUGCACAUACACUCUUUGGUAAAAGUAGUUCAUAUUUGCCUCCUAAGAGAUUCUAUUUUAGUGUGAUUUCCUUUGUCGAACCUUGCAGAUUCUUUUUGGAAUUUUGCAACAAUUUCUACACAGUAUGGGUUUGAUGGCCCAAGUCGUAGUUGAUGAAGUAAACACAAUCUAGAAGGUGGACUCUUCACAUUCUCUACUAACCUUGGAGGAUGCAGCCUGUAUUAAGAAGUUUAUGGAGGAGGAUUGCCACAGAGUUUGUAAGGACUUUCAGAAAGCAAGGUUGGCCAGAGAAGGAUAUGCCAGAAAUGUUAGACUAAUGGUUGGUAGUCAGAGCUCGUCUUGUUGUUCUUGUUGUAGUUGGUUGAACUAUUGAAGCAUUGUAUGUAAUUGAACAUCAUUUUAGGUAUCAACACCUCAUGUUGCAAAAUGCCAUGUGAGUGCAACAUUGUGCAUCCAAAUAAACAACCAAAAUUACCAUUUCUAAGAAAACUUGCAGAAUGAGGUAGAACAACAAAAGACUAGGUUUCAGGAACAGUUGGCCCAACAUCCUUAGCUCAUUGAGGCUCAUUCUACCAAGCUUACAGAAUCAGAGAGGGAAGUGGAAACUAGCAGAGACGCAGCAAAGAGGGACUGUGUUGAGGAAAAGCUUUAGAAGACUGUCCAUAUGAUUAGGAGCUCCUAAGAAUGGGAAAUCGUGACUACACACCAACUGAAGCAGCAUACAGAAGAGGUCUUCAAAUUAUGGGCUGUAGUCGAGCAGUUGUGACUUGUUAGUAUAAUUUCUUUAGAAUCAAUUGAAUCAAUUAGAAUCAAUAUACCUCCAAUGAUGUCUUCUUCCCCAACUCUUCUGUGAUAUUGUUUCUGUUUUGUUCAUAUGCUUUGUUGGAUGGGGCUCCAACUUUUUUUUUGGCAGGGAGACUAAUGUAGACUAUGUUAUAAUGUUAUGUUAAAAAAAUGUUAUGCUAACCUAAUUCUGUUAUUUUAACUGUCAGCUGAUGUAGUGUAAGUUAUUGAAUGGUUAUAAAAUAAUUAAACCCAACAAUUGAGGCCUAGCUAACAAUCGUUUCUCCUUCAAAUAGAACUUCAAUAAUCAAUGGAAGGGUAUUGAUCUACAGGUGGUCCUCCCUGUACUGCUUACAUUGUAAUUUGACAUUUUCUCUGAAAUAAAGCAUCAACAGUUGUGUUCUUG